rnacentral:rRNA from 1 species
UAGGGGAUGAGCUGUGGAUAGGGGUGAAAGGCUAAACAAACUUGGAAAUAGCUGGUUCUCUCCGAAAACUAUUUAGGUAGUGCCUCAAGUAUUACCUGCGGGGGUAGAGCACUGUUUAGGCUAGGGGGUCAUGGCGACUUACCAAACCUAUGCAAACUCCGAAUACCGCAGAGUACAGCUUGGGAGACAGAGCACCGGGUGCUAACGUCCGGACUCAAGAGGGAAACAACCCAGACCGCCAGCUAAGGUCCCUAAAAUUGGCUAAGUGGGAAACGAAGUGGGAAGGCUAAAACAGUCAGGAUGUUGGCUUAGAAGCAGCCAUCAUUUAAAGAAAGCGUAAUAGCUCACUGAUCGAGUCGUCCUGCGCGGAAGAUGUAACGGGGCUAAGCCAGUUACCGAAGCUGCGGAUGUGCAAUUUAUUGCACGUGGUAGGAGAGCGUUCUGUAAGCCUGUGAAGGUGUCUGGUAACGGAUGCUGGAGGUAUCAGAAGUGCGAAUGCUGACAUGAGUAGCGUUAAAGGGGGUGAAAAGCCCCCUCGCCGUAAGCGCAAGGUUUUCUACGCAACGUUCAUCGGCGUAGAGUGAGUCGGCCCCUAAGGCGAGGCAGAGAUGCGUAGCUGAUGGGAAACAGGUCAAUAUUCCUGUACCGAUCAAUAGUGCGAUGUGGGGACGGAGAAGGUUAGCUCAGCCAACUGUUGGAUAUGUUGGUUCAAGCCUGUAGUCGUGCCUGGUAGGCAAAUCCGCCGGGCUUAGAUGAGGGGUGAUAACGAGUCUGCUUGCAGACGAAGUGAGUGAUACCCUGCUUCCAGGAAAAGCCACUAAGCUUCAGCUAUACACGACCGUACCGCAAACCGACACUGGUGCGCGAGAUGAGUAUUCUAAGGCGCUUGAGAGAACUCAGGAGAAGGAACUCGGCAAAUUGAUACCGUAACUUCGGGAGAAGGUAUGCCCCAAGUAGGUGAACUCGUACAGAGGGAGCCCAAAGGGGUUGCAAAAAAUCGGUGGCUGCGACUGUUUAAUAAAAACACAGCACUCUGCAAACACGAAAGUGGACGUAUAGGGUGUGACGCCUGCCCGGUGCUGGAAGAUUAAAUGAUGGGGUGCAAGCUCUUGAUUGAAGUCCCAGUAAACGGCGGCCGUAACUAUAACGGUCCUAAGGUAGCGAAAUUCCUUGUCGGGUAAGUUCCGACCUGCACGAAUGGCGUAACGAUGGCCACACUGUCUCCUCCUGAGACUCAGCGAAGUUGAAAUGUUUGUGAUGAUGCAAUCUCCCCGCGGAAAGACG